rnacentral:rRNA from 1 species
UACGAAGGGGGCGAGCGUUGUUCGGAAUUACUGGGCGUAAAGGGCGCGUAGGCGGCCGAUCAAGUCAGAUGUGAAAGUCCUGGGCUUAACCUGGGGACUGCAUUUGAUACUGAUUGGCUUGAAUUCGGGAGAGGAUAGCGGAAUUCCCAGUGUAGAGGUGAAAUUCGUAGAUAUUGGGAAGAACACCGGUGGCGAAGGCGGCUAUCUGGACCGACAUUGACGCUGAUGCGCGAAAGCUAGGGGAGCAAACGGG